CUGGUGGAUUAGGAUCGGCUCAUCUCCCCGCCCAAGGUAACUCACACAACCAUCUCGGUAGCUUGUUUACAUUUAAUUUUUGAAACUCUCAAGGCCGAUCUCAGACCGUCGCCCAGAUGAGAAGCGGUCAAAGCGGCAACAACCGAAAGGGAAAUUUUUAGACGCUUAGAGUUCAAAGUGUCAGGCAAACUCGCCACACGGCACUAAAUUGGAGGCGUUUGCCAACCGGGUCGCCUAAUCCUGAGGAGCUCCAAGGGAAAAGAAGGGACGUGCUGACAAGGUAAGUACGCUAAACAAAUCCCACAAGUUAUUAAAUUUCGCGACCCAAUUUAGAUAUAGUUUGACGCGCGGCCAGGCUUCGGGCUUGAACCUCUAAAUUUAGAUCAGAUUUCACAAGUUCAACGUCGCAUGUGUUGAAACUGCAGCAGGAAAAACGCUGAUGGCGAAGACCAGCGCGACUCCGCACGGAGCCAAUUGGUCCGGAGGAUAGCGUAGCGUGGCCGGAAGCAGGGCGUCGGUGGACUUGGAGAUGACCACGUGGCCAGCGCGGGCAUUCGUUCCCGGAACGGACUCACCGAGGGA